GAUGAAGAACGUAGCGAAAUGCGAUAAGUAGUGUGAGUUGCAGAAUUCAGUGAAUCAUCGAAUCUUUGAACGCACAUUGCGCCCUCUGGUAUUCCGGGGGGCAUGCCUGUUCGAGCGUCAUUAUAACCACUCAAGCUCUCGCUUGGUAUUGGGGUUCGCGGUUCCGCGGCCCCUAAAAUCAGUGGCGGUGCCUGUCGGCUCUACGCGUAGUAAUACUCCUCGCGAUUGAGUCCGGUAGGUCUACUUGCCAGCAACCCCAAUUUUUACAGGUUGACCUCGGAUCAGGUAGGGAUACCCGCUGAACUUAAGCAUAUCAAUAAGCGGAGGA
rnacentral:misc_RNA from 1 species